AUGAAGCCUAAGUUCUUAGGAGGCAUUGGCAUCAGGAACUUGGACAUUAUGAAUAACACGUGUUUGUUAAAAUUGGGAUGGACGCUUAGGAGUGGAAAAGACUCACUGUUGUAUAGAGUGAUCAAAGGUAAAUACAAUAGAGAGAGGAUGCGGAGAAGGAUGAAGUUGCUGCUAAACCUCCAGACUCCAAAUUUUGGAAGGCUCUUGUAUAAUUAUGGCCUUAUUUGA